rnacentral:rRNA from 1 species
CGUGUAGGCGGCUCGUUAAGUCUGGUGUGAAAGCCCGGGCUCAACCCCGGAAGUGCAUUGGAAACUGGCGAACUUGAGUACGGGAGAGGAAAGUGGAAUUCCGAGUGUAGGGUGAAAUCCGUAGAUAUUCGGAGGAACACCAGUGGCGAAGGCGGCUUUCUGGACCGAUACUGACGCUGAGACGCGAAAGCGUGGGGAGCAAACA